rnacentral:rRNA from 1 species
GAUGAACGCUGGCGGCGUGCCUAAUACAUGCAAGUCGAGCGAACGGACGAGAAGCUUGCUUCUCUGAUGUUAGCGGCGGACGGGUGAGUAACACGUGGAUAACCUACCUAUAAGACUGGGAUAACUUCGGGAAACCGGAGCUAAUACCGGAUAAUAUUUUGAACCGCAUGGUUCAAAAGUGAAAGACGGUCUUGCUGUCACUUAUAGAUGGAUCCGCGUUGCAUUAGCUAGUUGGUAAGGUAACGGCUUACCAAGGCAACGAUGCAUAGCCGACCUGAGAGGGUGAUCGGCCACACUGGAACUGAGACACGGUCCAGACUCCUACGGGAGGCAGCAGUAGGGAAUCUUCCGCAAUGCGCGAAAGCCUGACGGAGCAACGCCGCGUGAGUGAUGAAGGUCUUCGGAUCGUAAAACUCUGUUAUUAGGGAAGAACAUAUGUGUAAGUAACUGUGCACAUCUUGACGGUACCUAAUCAGAAAGCCACGGCUAACUACGUG